rnacentral:rRNA from 1 species
UUGGGAAUCUUGGACAAUGGGGGAAACCCUGAUCCAGCCAUGCCGCGUGAGUGAUGAAGGCCUUAGGGUUGUAAAGCUCUUUCGCACGCGACGAUAAUGACGGUAGCGUGAGAAGAAGCCCCGGCUAACUUCGUGCCAGCAGCCGCGGUAAUACGAAGGGGGCUAGCGUUGUUCGGAAUUACUGGGCGUAAAGCGCGCGCAGGCGGGUCAUCAAGUCAGAGGUGAAAGCCCGGAGCUUAACUCCGGAAUAGCCCUUGAAACUGUUGAUCUUGAGUACGGGAGAGGUGAGUGGAAUUCCCAGUGUAGAGGUGAAAUUCGUAGAUAUUGGGAAGAACACCAGUGGCGAAGGCGGCUCACUGGCCCGUUACUGACGCUCAGGCGCGAUAGCGUGGGGAUCAAACA